rnacentral:tRNA from 1 species
GUGUUCCUGUAGCACAAUGGAUAGUGCGUUGGACAUCUAAUCCAAAGGUCGUGGUUUUGAAUCCCACCUAGCAUG